UUAAUUACGGCGACUUAGACCAGCCAUACAGAAACUGCUCAAGCAGUAACUCUGUCAAUUGCACCUGGUAACGCCAACUGCUUGAGCUCCUUUCUCCUUAACUAACGUGUCGUAUCGUAUCGCGUAGACAUCCGCCGCGUGUUGUAUCUAGCGCAGACAAGAAUUAUUUCUUAGUCAGCGCCAGAGCAAUGUACUCGGUUCGUGUCGAGCUGUUACUGUGCUAGGUCUAGCAGCGUAAACUGCUGGAGCAGUUACUCUGCCCGGUGCAUAGCGUCGCGCGCGUUCUACUCAAGCGCCCGCCGCCGCGCCCGUGCCCGUUCAUGAGCUUAGUGUCGCGCUACAACACCACGUGCUCGCACUGCAGGCCACACAAGAGGACAGCAGCUGAGGGUCACUAUCAUGGUAUUUAUUGUGGAUCUUGUUAUACAGUAUUGAAUUUGACCAAUCUCAUGAUUUUAAUUAGAUAGUCUAAUUUAUUAUUUUAUAAGUAUUAUUAACAUGAAAAUAAACUUAUUUUGAAGCUUA